UUGCGAUAAUAAAGAUCCACUACUUGCCUUGUCGACGCUAAACUCAGUACCUCGCUUCCUUACUAGUACACCUACUAGACCCAUACUCAUUACGAAUGUGUUCAUCAGACAUUUGACUUAGCCACCUUCUGCAUAGACCAACAACGAUAAGGAAGGAGUUCUAUGGAUAAUGGGAUAUAGAAGUCAGGUGCGACGGUCAGCUCAGUCAGAGCGGAAGCGGUCAGGCAAGGUUAUUUUCAAAAAAUGUAGUGCAAGCGACGAGUAGCACUUGCCAUAAAGAAGCUAGCUAGAAAGCAGGCCAGGCAGGCGAGCGAUAGUACAAGAAAGCUAACACGUGGGCAAGGUUGAAGUCCCACGAGUAGUGAACUUCUUUUCCCGGAGAAGAAGCAAUGACGGUAUCUGGGGAAUAAGCAUCGGCUAACUCUGUGCCAGCAGCCGCGGUAAUACAGAGGAUGCAAGCGUUAUCCGGAAUGAUUGGGCGUAAAGCGUCUGUAGGUGGCUUUUUAAGUCCGCCGUCAAAUCCCAGGGCUCAACCCUGGACAGGCAGUGGAAACUACCAAGCUGCAGUAUGGUAGGGGCAGAGGGAAUUUCCGGUGGAGCGGUGAAAUGCGUAGAGAUCGGAAAGAACACCAACGGCGAAAGCACUCUGCUGGGCCGACACUGACACUGAGAGACGAAAGCUAGGGGAGCGAAUGGGAUUAGAUACCCCAUAGCCCUAGCCGUAAACGACGGAUACUAGGCACUGUGCAUAUCGACCCGUGCAGUGCUGUAGCUAACGCGUUAAGUAUCCCGCAUGGGGAGUAUGGUAGCAAGACCGAAACACAAAGGAAUUUACAGGGGCCUGCACAAGCGGUAAAGAAUGUGGUUUAAUUCGACACAACGCGCAAAACCUUACCAGGGCUUGACAUGCUGCGAAUCCUCUUGAAAGAAAGGGGUGCCUUCGGGAAUACGGAAACUGGUGGUGCAUGGUUGUCGACAACUCGUGGCGUAAGGUGUUAGGUUAAGUCCCGCUACGAGCGCAACACUCAUGUUUAGUUGCCAUCGUGGAGUUUGGAACCCUGAAAAGAUGGCCGGCGAUAAGCCGGAGGAAGGUGAGGAUGAYGUCAAGUCAUCAUGCCCCUUAUGCCCUAGGAGACACACAUGCUAUAAUGUCCGGUACAAAAGGUCGCGAUCCCGCGAGGGUGAGCUUACCCCAAAAACCCAUCCUAAGUUAAGAUUGCAAGCUGCAACUCGCCUGCAUGAAGUAGAAAUCGCUAGUAAUCGCCUGUCAGCCAUACAACGGAGAAUUCGUUCCUGGGUUUCGUACACACCGCCCGUCACAAUAUCGGAGCUAUACAUGCCCGAAGUCGUUACCUUAACYGCAAGGAGGGGGAUGCCGAAUGCAGGGCUAGUGACUGGAGUGAAGUUGUAACAAGGUAGCCGUACUGGAAGUUGCGGCUG
rnacentral:rRNA from 1 species